rnacentral:lncRNA from 1 species
GGCCAUAGACAUCUAUAGACACCCAUAGGAUACCACAGAAGACCAUAGUAAACCGCAGACAUCUCUGACCCCAUAUUCUUGAAACCCUAACUCCUCAUUUGAACCCUAGCCGUCAGACACUCAUAGUAACUCAUAGACAACUGCGGAAAUCAAAUCGAAAAAUUUUGAAUCUUCCAAACCAAACCCUAGAUCCACCCCUCCAAACCCUAGAUCUGUGACGACAAGGUCACCCACUCCCAUCCACGCCACCAUCGCCAACCCCACACACUCUGCCGUCGCCUACCCCAGCAUCACCGCACCACCAGCAUCAUCCUCGAACCUCGAGCGUGCCGCUGGGACAACAACCCAGCACCGCGCCACCACAACGCCUCCUCCCACCGUUGUAGCUUUCUUACCGUCAUAGUUAUUUUACAUUGGGCAGCCGCCUCCACCGCCGUGGUCGUCGCCAUAGCCACCACCUUCCUCAAUCAUGGAGUGGUGGCGAGAGAAA